rnacentral:misc_RNA from 1 species
GGACCUUCUACUCCCCCUUGACUUCUGUCUACUUAAUUCAUAUAAACUCAAUUUAUUUUAAAACGGAUGUAAUGGAUGUAACACAUCUAAUACUAAGUUUCAACAACGGAUCUCUUGGCUCUCGCAUCGAUGAAGAACGCAGCGAAAUGCGAUAAGUAAUGUGAAUUGCAGAAUUCAGUGAAUCAUCGAAUCUUUGAACGCACCUUGCGCUCCUUGGUAUUCCUUGGAGCAUGCCUGUUUGAGUAUCAUGAAAUCUUCAAAGUCAAACCUUUUGUUAAUUCAAUUGGUUCUGCUUUGGUAUUGGAGGAUUAUUGCAGCUUCACACCUGCUCCUCUUUGUGCAUUAGCUGGAUCUCAGUGUUAUGCUUGGUUCCACUCAGCGUGAUAAGUUAUCUAUCGCUGAGGACACCCUGUA